CUGCGCCGCCAAGGUUGUGAUGCUCCUGCUCGCCGCGCCGCCACCGGGUGGCCGGGAAGUACUACUCGCCGCGUCGCUGCCGGGAGGCCGCGAAGCUUCUGUUCGCCGUGCCACCAAGGACCUUCGGGUUUCUAGAGGAGGCAGCAGUAUGUAGAGGGGAUGAGUGUUGUUCUUCCAUCAAGCUGUUGUCCAGUGCCCAUUGAAGGGGCCUUUGCUUGCAGCCACAGCAUAGGCUUCUAAAAAAUCCAGAGCGUCGGUGGCCAGUUCUCCCUCUCACACGGUUAAAAAGAAAGUUCUUGCUCUUAAUUUCAUUCCAGAGAAUGGUCUAUUGGAGCUGCUUUCCGUUCGCUGGAGUAACUGAGUUAUAGCAUGUGAUGCUUUUUUACCUCAGGUUUAAUACUAGUAUAAUAUAGCAUGGUUUCUAUCUUAAAAUAAUAAUUCUGCUAUCUGAAGCGAGAGAUGGUGCUGGAGCAGAUAGAAGAUUUUUUUGUUUCAGAAAUUUGUUGCCAACACCCUUACUAAAUAUACACACCCUUUUCGCUUGAAAAUGAUAGUUUGCAAGAGAUUUUGGAGGUUGCAAAAAAGCAAGUAUGUGAGCCAGAAGGCAUCGCACACGUGCAUCGCCAUUCCAGAGCUGCGCGGCAUUAUUUGCUGACGGCUUAUUGGAGCUGCGCGGCAGCCGGAAACCUCGACGUCUCGUACAUACUCGGAAUGGUAUGAUCGAUUUUCGCAGUAACAAAAACACCAUCUCCUCGUUUUUGCUCCAAUUAGAUAUUACAAGGAAUCUGAUCUUUUUUUCCCGUCGCGCGUUCCAGAUGUUUCUGCUGCAUUUGACUCUCCUCUGGUUCUGCCGCCCCUAAAACUUCUUUUUUGGUGGAUCGUGUUUUUUUUCUGUUUUUGUCAGAUUUCACGGAUAGCCUCAUCUUUGGUGAUUUUUUUAUUUUAUUUUUUAAGAUCCACUAAUUCGUGCAAACUGGUGUUUCAACCUGUUCUCAUGUUCUUCCGCAAAAAAAAACUUGUUCUCAUGUUUGUCUAGAUCAUGUAAUUUUGUUGGAUGAUAGAGCUAGUUCAUGUAUUUCAAUUGGAUGUGAGAGCAAAUUGCAAAGAAUGGUUUCCAUAUUUGUUCUUUGUACAACACAGUUUCUUUCCAUAGUAGAAAUGCAUCUUGUGAUUUUAGAGUAUGUUCUGUUCGUUUUCCAAUCUAUUCCGUGUAUGAGAAAAGGAAUGGUGGUUGCCAUUUCUGUACAGCUGUCUCGAUGGGGGCUUUUCCUCCACCAUGACCAGGCCGCGCGACCCUGCCCUCCGCGUCACCAUCUUGUUCCUGGUCGGGGAGGCGCUGCCCUCGACCUGGCCAAGAAGACCAAGUCCACGCGCAUCUCCGGUGCGACUACAGAGCUGAGGGUAUGCCGGAGGCGGGCGCGCUGAGCGGUGGCGGAGGGAGCGCUGGCGGCGACAAGAGCUCCUCGCCCAUCCCAACCGGUCUCGUGCUUCCGCUCGGAGUUCCACUCGAGCGCCUACGCGGGGAGGCAGCAAUGCCUGCAUCCCUUGGUAACGAGCCAGGCAUCCCCAGAUUUGAUGGUGUUCCUUCCAAGAUCACAUUCUUGUAACUGGGCAGCUUCACAAUAUGGAUAGUUUUCCUUAUUUUUGCUUUUUUACUUUUGCUUUUCCCUCUUUGUUCCAAUAAGUCUACUCAGAUCAGCUGGGGUGAUUUUCCUUUUUACGCUUCCUGGAUUGGUGCUGUUAUUAUUUUUGACUAUAGGCCAUGUUCAAUGCACACGAAUUGCAGAUUCAAAAACGUGUUCAUAAUCCA